UACGUAGGGGGCUAGCGUUGCUCGGAAUCACUGGGCGUAAAGCGCACGUAGGCGGCUUUCUAAGUCAGGGGUGAAAUCCUGGAGCUCAACUCCAGAACUGCCUUUGAUACUGGAGAGCUUGAGUCCGGGAGAGGUGAGUGGAACUCCGAGUGUAGAGGUGAAAUUCGUAGAUAUUCGGAAGAACACCAGUGGCGAAGGCGGCUCACUGGCCCGGUACUGACGCUGAGGUGCGAAAGCGUGGGGAGCAAACAGG
rnacentral:rRNA from 1 species